AGCAGCCGCGGUAAUUCCAGCUCCAAUAGCGUAUAUUAAAGUUGUUGCAGUUAAAAAGCUCGUAGUUGAAUUUCGGGAUCGACGGGUCGGUCGCGCCUCUGGUGUGUACUGGCCCUGUCGGUUUCUCCCUUCUGACGAACCACGAUGUCAUUAAUUUGGUGUCGUGGGAAAUCAGGACUGUUACUUUGAAAAAUUAGAGUGUUUAAAGCAGGCAUUCGCUUGAAUACAUUAGCAUGGAAUAAUGAAAUAGGACGUUUGAUCUUAUUUUGUUGGUUUCUAAGAUCGACGUAAUGAUUAAUAGGGAUAGUUGGGGGCAUUAGUAUUCAAUUGUCAGAGGUGAAAUUCUUGGAUUUAUUGAAGACUAACUACUGCGAAAGCAUUUGCCAAGGAUGUUUCAUUAAU
rnacentral:rRNA from 1 species